UUGGCAGACCGGGAGAUUUCUGUUUAUCCACAGGACAGGUACACUAUAGCCAGUAGCAAUACAGGCGUCCCCGCAAUGCCCUAUCUGCGUGCCUCCACUCUGACCUGGAACAGCUACCUCUGGGGAUGAGGAUGGUUUCCAGGCCCACUUAGUCUCUGGCCCCU
rnacentral:sRNA from 1 species